GAGGCCGACUAAGAGCCUCUGGAGUGAAUCAGAGACUGGGAGAGGGAGAGGGUUCAGUUUGGGUCCAGCCAAACCCUUAAUUUUUAACUCCUUGGGUUUAUUCGAUGGGUUGUUGUGAUGUUGUAAUCCCUCUAGAAAGUCAGGCAGUCCUUUGGGUUACCCGAGUAAAAUGUUGAGCGCGCCCGUCGAGGGUCCAAGGAAGUUGCUGGGAUUGGAGUCAUGUGAGCUGGUGGAGCUGGCCUGAAUCCCUUGGAGGGAGUGUCGAGGCGCACAGCCUCUGGAGAGGCUGAGCUCUGCUUCAUGGCCACAAGGAAAUGGCAGCUUUGGGUUCUGCUUCUCACAGCCCAGAAACAGCAGAGCCAACUAGCCAUGGUCUGAGGCCUCUGAGGGGUCGGUGGCUGUCACAGAAGACUUGUCUCUCAUUUUCAACUGUGAGUCUGCAGUCAUUGAUACCACUG